UACGGCCACAUCACGCUGGAACACCGGUCCCCAUACGAACAUACAGGUUAAGCAACGUCGAUCCUGGUUAGUACCUAGAUAGAUGACCGCUUUGGAAUACCAAGUACUGUAAG